rnacentral:rRNA from 1 species
CCCCUAGAUGUUCUGGGCCACACGCGCGCUACACUGAACAGUUCAACAAGUCUUAACCUUGGCCGAUAGGUCUGGGUAAUCUUUGAACGCUGUUCGUGAUUGGGAUAGACCUUUGCAAUUAUGGGUCUUCAACGAGGAAUUCCUAGUAAACGCAAGUCGUCAGCUUGCAUUGAUUACGUCCCUGCCCUUUGUACACACCGCCCGUCGCACCUACCGAUUGAAUGGUCCGGUGAAAUCUCGGGACGGCGGCUUGGUCGCUUGCGUCCGACUGCUGAAACUUGAUUAAACCAUAUCAUUUAGAGGAAGGUGAAGUCGUAACA